ACCUCCGGACUGGGGUUCGCAAGCUUCGCGGCGAACGUACCUCGGGAAGUUGGUUAAACCUCACUAUUUAGAGGAAGGUGAAGUCGUAACAAGGUCUCCGUAGGUGAACCUGCAGAAGGAUC
rnacentral:rRNA from 1 species